GACGAACGCUGGCGGCGUGCUUAACACAUGCAAGUCGAACGGAAAGGCCUCUCUCGGGGGGUACUCGAGUGGCGAACGGGUGAGUAACACGUGAGUAACCUGCCCUUGACUUUGGGAUAACUUCAGGAAACUGGGGCUAAUACCGGAUAGGAGCUCCUGCUGCAUGGUGGGGGUUGGAAAGUUUCGGCGGUUGGGGAUGGACUCGCGGCUUAUCAGCUUGUUGGUGGGGUAGUGGCUUACCAAGGCUUUGACGGGUAGCCGGCCUGAGAGGGUGACCGGCCACAUUGGGACUGAGAUACGGCCCAGACUCCUACGGGAGGCAGCAGUGGGGAAUAUUGCACAAUGGGUGGAAGCCUGAUGCAGCAACGCCGUGUGCGGGAUGACGGCCUUCGGGUUGUAAACCGCUUUCGCUCAUGACGAAGCUUUGUGUGACGGUAGUGGGUAAAGAAGCACCGGCUAACUACGUG
rnacentral:rRNA from 1 species